GGGGGGGUGGGGAGAAGGAGAAAAGAAAGUGAUAAAGGGGGGUGAGGAGGAGGAGAGGAAGUGAAAAAAAGGGGAGAUGGAGAACUGAAGAGAUGGAGGGAGGAGAAAAGAAGGAGGGGGAUGGAGAGAAGGGAUAGCAUAAGGAAGAUGGACGGCAAAAUAGGGAGUGAAAUAAGGGAGAGGGAGAGAAGAAGAAAGGCGAAAGGAGGAAAGGAGGGGAAAAGAAACGCAAAAGGAAGAUGAAGAGCACACAAAAAGAGGAGGUAGAAAAGCAGGUGAGUGCAGGAUCGGAGGAGGAGGAGGAGGAAGAGGAAGAAGAUGAAGAGGAGAGAGAAGAGGAGACAGAUCAUGAGGAGGAGGGAAGGAAGGGAGAGAUGCUAGGUAAAGGGAGGAUAGCUAGAAAAGAGGAGGGAAGAAAGGGAAGGAUGCAAGGUGUAGGGAGAAGAGGAGAUAGAUAAAGAUGAGAGAGAAGGAAGAUGGAGAGAGCAAAAAAAAGAGGCGAGAAGGAGGGAGGGUGUAGGAUCAGAGGGGGAGGCGGUGAGGUGAGGCGGAGGCGGGAAGGUUGUGCCGGAAUAAAUCUCAGCUAACUGCAGCGAGAAUGGUGGUAACUUUAAACGGAAACUUCGACUGUGUCUGAAUAUUGGGGAAGCUGCCGUUGCUGCCUGCCCGUCCCCGGAGGCUGCUAUGAGGCGGGCGAGGAAGGAUAUGAGGCGAGAGCGAGAGUGAGAGGGCGAGCGAGAGCAAGAGAGAGGGAGAGAGAGAUUACUAGAUUUGGGAGGAGGGAGAGGUAGUGUGGGUGCAGCGGGGGAAGGAGUGUGAAUAUUGGAACGGGAUGGAUGGAAGAGGAGAGAGAGAGGGAGGGAGAGAGGAAAGUGCAGUGAGAAAAGAAGAGGUCUGAGGGAACGAAAAAAAGUUAUAAUAGGUCGUUAGAUAGGGAGGUUUAGGAGGAAAGAAGCGAGAAAAAUAGUGAUGGAAAGCAAAGGAGUGAGAGGCAUGAAAAUAUAAAGGUAGAAAGAAAAUAAAAAAGGGAAAGUUUAGCAAGGAAGGGAAAAGAGGAUUGGGGAACGAAAAAGGUCAUAAUAAGUCGUUAGAAAGGGAGGUUUAGGAGGAAAGAAGCGAGAAAAAUAGUGAUGGAAAAUAAAAAAAGUGCGAGGCAUGAAAAUAUGAAGGUAGAAAGAAAAUAAAAAAAAAGGAAGGUACAGUGAGGAAGGGAGAAGAGGAUUGGGGAACGAAAAAGGUCAUAAUAGGUCGUUGGAAAGGGAAGUUUAGGAGGAAAGAAACGAGAAAAAUAGUGAUGGAAAGUAAAAAAAAGUGAAAGGCAUGAAAAUAUAAAGGUAGGAAGAAGAAAAUAAAAAAGGGAAGGUUUAGUAAGGACAGAAGAGGAUUGGGGAACGAAAAAGGUCAUAAUAGGUCGUUGGAAAGGGAGGUUUAGGAGGAAAGAUGCGAGAAAAAUAGUGAUGGAAAGUAAGAAAAGUGAGAGGCAUGAAAAUAUUGAAAUAGGAAGUAGAAAAUAAAAAGGAAGGAACAGGAAGGAAGGGAGAAGACGAAAGUCAAAAUAUGUCUUUAGAAUGGGAAGUAGGACAGAGUUAAAAGAAGAAAAAAAAGAUGAUGAGAAACUGUGAGAGGAACGAACAUAUAGUGAAGGUAGGAAGGAGAAAAUAUAAGAGUUAGAUGGAGAUAAAGGGAAGAACUAGGGACGGAGAGCAAGGUGAUAAAUAAGAAAGAAAAAGGAGAAAAGGAAAAAUGGUAAGACAGUGAUGGAGACAGGAAGCCAUAUAAGGAAAGAGUAAGGGGAAUAAGAGAUAAGAAAAGGAGAGAGGAAGGAAGGAGAGCGAAGAGGGAUGAAACAAAGGAAUGGGGAAAGGAUAUGACAAUGGUGAAGAGAAGUGGGCAGGUAGGGAGGGAGUGACUAAGCGAGGGAAGGAACAGGCAAGGAUGAAACACAGGAAUAAGGGAAGGAUAUGACAUGGUGAAGAGAAGUGGGCAGGUAGGGAGGGAGUGACUAAGCGAGGGAAGUAACAGGCAAGAAAGAAACAGGAAUGGAGGAGGAGGAUAGAUAAAAAGGAGAGGGGAGAGCCACUUAAGGUCAAGAAGUGGCAAUAUCUGGAGACAUUAAACUCUGAAAAGCAAAACGAUAAAAAGGGAAUAGAAAGUUGACAUUGGCUGUAACGAAAAAAAAGUAAAAUAUAUAAA